CAGGGGCCCCAAGGCAGCAGCAGGCACGUGCAAUAUAUGUGCCCUGCUGCUGCCUGCACUUUCAGAACGGAGGAGCGACUUGUAAAGUCACUCGCUCCGUUCUUAGUGCUCCAUUUAGUUUCCCCAGCCCCUAGGCAAUGAGCCUAGGCGAAGAACAAAGGGCCCCUGGGUCGUGAUUGCCCAGGGGCCCCUAGGCAGCAGCAGGCAUGUGAAAUCUAUGUGCUCUGCUGCUGCCUGCACUAUGUGAACAGAGGAGCGGCUUGUAAAGCUGCUCACUCUGUUCAGACUCAUUCCCCAGCCCCCAGGCAAUGAGCCUAGGCAGGGAAUGAGUGGCCCCUGAGGCGCUAUAGCCCAGGGGCCCCAAAGGCAGCAGCAGGCACGUGCAAUGGACAUGCUAUGCUGCUGCCUGCACUUCCUGGCCACUAAGCCACGCCCCUUUUACAGGUCAUCAGAAGAGGACGGUGCCAUCUCUGCCUGCAGCUCUCCUGGAUGAUCUGGACCCUACUACACCCAGAUUUUACAGAUUUUACUGAAACGUAUAAUCUACUUUAUGGAUUUCUAGCAUCUAAAAUAUCACACCAAAGGAAAAAUCAAAUAUGGGAAAGCAUAAAAAACAAAGUUUGUUCAGUAGGAGUAGGUCAAAGAACAGUCAUACAGCUAAAGAAACGAUGGCUGGAUAUUUGACGGUGUACAAAAGAUAAACUAAGUGUAAUAGAGAAAAAAAGGAUAAAAACUGGUGGAGGAGAUGAGAAAAUUGCAUCAUUAAAUCCAUUUGAAGCACAACAAAAAUUGAUAGCAUCAUCAACAAUGAAGACUUCAUAGAUCUAAGUGAUACAGAAGAUGUAGCUAGUUCAUCUAAAACACAAAAGUGACAGUGUUUAUGCUGUGAAACCAUGGCUUAUUACACCCAUACUCAACCCACAAACUGAUGCAGAAGAAAGAUUUAAUUCCAGCCAUAAAGCUACGAGAUGCAUCAUUGAAAGAACUUUUGGAAUACUAAAAAGCCGUUUUAGAUGCCUGGAUAAAACAGGGGGUGCUUUAAUUUACAAACCGGAAAAAGUUUGCCAAAUAAUUUAUUGCUUCUGCAUUCUUCACAAUUUUGCACUCCUUCAUAAAGAACAUAUUGAAGUUGCCAAUGAUCUGACUCCACAAAUAGAUGAUAUCAUAGUUCAAAAUAGAGAUCAAAAUCAAGAGGGUGUGCUAUUACGCAGGCAACUUAUUGCAAACUAUUUCCAGUGGUAAGUAACAAAACAUAAACCAAUAUAGUUACCAUAGAUAAAUGUUCCUGUAUAUGCUAUUUCCAUUACC